rnacentral:lncRNA from 1 species
AAUGAACUCAAAUCAAAAGUGGAGGAUUUGGAGGUUAAACUCCGCGAAGAAAUGAAGAAGUCAAAAUGUAUCACCGAUGUAGUGUAUGAUACUCAGAGCACCUCUACAAACGUGUAUCACACUGCUAGGUCAUCCAUGAGUUAUGGACCUGUGAACAUGGAAGUGGAUGUCAAAAUUCUAGGGUCACAAGCUAUGAUACGCGUACAAAGUCCUGAUGUGAAUUAUCCGGCUGCAAGACUGAUGGACGCUCUUAGAUUGCUAGAGUUCCGAAUUCAUCAUGCAAGUGUGUCAAGUGUCAAGGAAAUCAUGCUUCAAGAUGUUGUCAUCAAGGUUCCUGAUGGACUGACAAGCGAGGACGCCCUCAAAACCGUGCUGCUGAGAACACUGCAGAUGUGAUCCAUCAAGACUGCUGUUCUGUUGGAACUUAAUAUAUGUAUCGUAGUCGCCUAGUGAUUAACGUGUGUUGUAAUAUCGAUCAGCUUCUUUGUCGUAGUAGACUUAAUUCUCCUUAUGGAACUUCUAUCCUUAAUUAUAUAUAUCUAUGUGUGUUUGUAUGUUUAUACAUAGACACAUAAAUAUAUAUGCUAGGUUUCUUAUUUUGUGUUCUGAAAAUGUGAAAUCUAAGGUUGGAAGCAAUGUUGAGUGAUGAAGUUGAUGUUAUGUUUUCUGUAAAAAUUUAAUGUGGAAUUGAAGUACGUUCUUCAUUUGUUUUCUUCUUCAAUUUAGUUAAAUCUCCAAGUUCAUAUUUUGUAUAUACAUGUAUAGGUAUAUAUCAAUCUGGCUUGAUUAUGAUGAGUAUCCGAAAACUUUGCAAAUUUUACAGUUGCAAAUGCAGUAUAUAAACAGCUUUGAAUAUAUACUUAUCGGGUGAUCUCUAAACUUCUUCUGCUUGAGUGAUUCACAAGGCAAUACAUAGUUUUGAACCGUAAGUCAUGUGAUAAUAUAUGAUCAUCACAUAUCUAAAUACUCAGUGGUAAACCGUAGCGUGGUGCCCUAAUUAUUAUUGUAAAAGGUAAAUCAACGCUAAACUCAUUUUUGAAAAUUGCCGGAGAAAAUUAAGGUUACGAGUCCCUAUCAGAUUACUCAGAAAAUUAGGGUGAUAAAUGACAAUCUUGGCCGAAUUCAGUUCCCGCCCCUUACUUUCUGUUUCUGAAGCAAUAACAUGUAAUAAUUCUUACAUAUGUGUGUUAUAUGUGUGUGUGGAUAAAUUAUUCUUUAUAUAACUGAUAUAUCCUCGAUAAAUAUUUGCCCUGAUCUUCAAAUCGAAUAAUUAAGUACAAAACUUCAAGCGGAGCUCGAAGUAAGCUAUCAUCCGUAGAGCCCUUCCCCUUACUUGCGAUGCCAUUCUUGUAGAUCCAGACGUUGCUUAGUUGGUUAUAAAAAGAUUUGAUUUAAAGAUCUUAGUUAGUUGCUUAGUUGUGCCAAACUAAUUAAUUAGUUUGUACAGUCACUGGAUCUUACGAAAUGAAACUCGAUUCCCCGUCUACUAGCUGCGCCUUACAAUGGAGAAUUUCAUACCUUCAACUCAUCAACAUAAUUAUAUCACACAUUUUGACAAAAGAUGAUCAUUUUGGAGGACUAAAGAGAAAUAUAACACUUAAAUUAUGACUAAAUUACCGGUUCUUCACAAUCUUGUUAAUAUCGGCAAGAGUGAAAUCCGAAUAGAUUCUUUUUCUUGAUAAGAUAGCCCCUCACUUAGAUAUUUAUUAUUUUUGAAUUUAUUAUAUAUUUUUAAUGUUCCCUCCUUUAAAUGUCCAAUAUUAUUUUUGGGUCCUUAAUUCAUCCCGUACAAAAUUCAAUAAAUCGAAAUAUUGGGCGUUUAAGGAUUUAAUUUUGAAAUUCAAGUCCCCUCACCCCCACAGUCUGAAAAUUUGAUUUCAUGUUAACUAACUAUUUUUCUUAAAAAAACAUUGGCUAUUAGGAUCACGUGCAUCAUAUAUUCUCAACAAUUGUGCAACAGAAAUCCUCCACCUGAUCUGUCAUAGAUAUAUCGAGAUCAUCAAGAGUCCAUAGAAUUAAUUAAGAAGACUGUCUCCGAAUUAAGUGUAUAUAUAUCCACAAACCUUGUUCGGAGUGCUAACUUACAACAAAUUACUCUAGAAACUCAGUGCGAUCUUCUGAAAAUUCACGAAUAAAUUAGAAUUAGAUGUGUUAUACGUGGAAUUUAGUUCGAAACUUCUAAAAUUUAGUUACGUAAAAAUAUACUCCCUCCGUCUCAAUUUAUAGGUCCAUUUUGGAAUAAACACAUAUUAAGAAAAAAGUUGAUUAGAUGGAAUCUUAUCUCAUGUAUCAUUAAUUAGUGUAUUGAUAAGUGAGAAUAUUGUUGAGUUUCAAAAAAAUCACAAUAAAUAUAGGGAUUUAGUGCAUUGAGAAAUGAGAAUAAUGUUGAGUUUCAAAAAAAUCACAAUUAAUAUGUAGAUAAAUUUGUAUUGAAAGAAGAGAGGGACAAGUAUUUUGGGACAAUUUUUUUUUUCUAAACUGGACCUAUAAAUUGAGACGGAGGGAGUAUAUAUAAACAUAUACCCAUAAUUAAUUUUAAUAUAAAAUUUGCAAACUAUAUAUUGUAAAAAAUAUUACGAGAAGUUGCAGAUGAUUUAUACGGACACAGUUUAGGAAGUCUACAUAACACUACUGGAUCAUUAAUGUUUACCAACCACGUCAGACGUAUUGUACCAAAAAGUGUAUAUAUGACUUAUUAAAAUAAUGUUAUUAUUUUGUGAAGGAUGUAAUUAAAAUACACAUUAUUAUUUUAUCAAUUUUAAACUGUUUUAAGCAUCAUUUGCCGUUGUUGGUUAUUAAAUUUGUUUUGAAAUGUGCUUAUAAUCUUUAAUAUAUAUAGAAAGAAGAGGUGAGUAAGUUUUUGGUUUCCCUUAGUAGUGGUUUUGGUAAUAAAAAAUAGGGUUAUAAUAAAAAAAAUAAGAUUUAAUCUGUUAAAACCGAGAAGAAAGAUUAAUCAAAUAUUAAUCAAAUAAUCAAUUAAUAAUUAAAAAUUAAAUCGAUUUUAUGAAUUACGGAAGAAAAAUUAAUGGAUGAAUAAUCAUUAAUUAAUUGACGAAUUUUGGAAGAGAGAUAAAAAGAUGUCCCUCCCAACAAAUUUGACUUUCUUGCAAAUGUUAUAAUUUAGAGCACCCUGUUAAAUUAUGGCAGUCCCAUACUCCCAUCCUUCGGGAGGAGUGUUGUGUCUUUUGAUACGGAAUAAAAAUAUAUUUAUAUUUUUAUUACAUAUAUUAACCAAAUUAUAAUUUUGCUGUGUGAAAUACUCGUCACAGUAUGAGCGCAAAAUUGUAUUCGUUCUUUGGCUUGGGAUAUAUAAGGAAUUUCGUCAAACAUGUGUACUUAAUUAUGACCGUUAUAUUUUCUACACUCGACCUUUUAUAUAUAAAAAAACAGCUUUGCCACAAGUUAUACAAGUUAUAUAAUUAUAUAAAGUCUUAAUCUAAUGGAAACCUCCCUAUUUAACAAAUUGGAAACUAUCAUUAAAUUUCUAAGAAUAUAUAUCAUUAAAUUCUUCAACAACCCCACCUCCUUCUUCAAGCAGCCUCCUGCUUCCACCUCACUUCCGGCAGUUUUACCCCGCCACCCCAAACAUCGUCAACUUGCCUCACCGGAGAACUCUCACCAACCCUUAACAACAACACGCCACCAUACAAAUCAAUCACAGCCACCAACCACACCACUCUGAGAUAUAUACACACACAUACUAAUAUCUUCCAAUCCCCUAUACUACCAAAUCUCGAACCCGAUCCAGCCAAUUAUCAGCCCACUCUCCCAGAAUCCCGACGCUGCAAUACAUCGAUAGCCAAACCCCCUGCUCUAUCAAACACCGCCUUGAACAACCAUAACACCAACCCAACAGCCAACAUCUUUUUCACUCCGAUCGUCGAGUCUCCCCCUUGAGUAGUACAAUCGCCACUUUCAUCUUCAUCUACACCUCCACUAUCUCCACCACUCCACCACCAUCAAAAUCAAGUACAAGAACAAAUUCACAAACUUUCAUCGAUUUCUGGAAAAUUUCACCAAUUUUUGCAACAAAGAUCACUAAAUUCUAUAGAAAAUAUCACUAUAUUGUACAGAGAAUAUCACUAAACUGAAUUGAUUUUUAGUUUUUAUUUUAAGGGUGUUUUUUAUUUGAUCAUGAGCCUAAUUAUAUAUUUGAGCCAAUGUCAGAUAAAUCAGAAAUCAGAGAUAAUCGAUUGAGUUACAGAUUUAGGAUUAAUCGAAAAUCGGAGAUUAAUUGGAAUAAUUAAUCGGAUGUAUUUUAAUAUUAAAAUAUUAUUUAAUAUUUAGUUAUUAUUGUAUGACUUAUUUGCAUUUUGAAUCCCUUUGAUUUGGGUUAAAUGCAAAAUGGGUAACGCAGGUUGACAAAAUUCAGUUUGCAUCCUCAUACUUUUCAUCUUGUAACAGAUUACACAUUUUUCGUCUAUUUUGACCUUUACCAUUAUUCAAAUGAGGAUAAAUUAGUAAUUUUCAUUUACGUUCUUUCUUGAAGAUCAAAUCAAAUUUUAAUAUAUUAUUGAUAUCCAAUCUUCAAAUAAUCAAAUUGAAUCUCAGGCUUUAUAUUAUUCAUAUCUACCAUCAAAAUAAUUAAAUAUUAAACCAUACGGAACAUGGGAUCAUAUGUGUGCAAUGUGUAUAAAAAAUAAAGUAAGAGUGUGAGAAAGUAGCGAGGGUUCCCGAUGGUUAAAAUCUGUGUAUACUAAUUACGAUCAAGAUAUUUUGUAAGCGUAAAAUUAAGGUGAUUUUACAUUCAUAAUAUUCAGAUAUAUUCAAUUGAGAUUUAAAAAAAAUAUCAGAAUUUAGAAUCUAAAUUUUAAAUUAUUCUAUAAAAUAUGGUUAUAUUCAAUCAUGACUUAAAAAAAAUUGAUGGUAUUGAAUUAAUUCUGAUUCUUAGAAAUUCAUUAAAUGAUAAUAUUCAAAUGCUAAUAAAUUUUUUAAAACUUCAUAAAAUAUUUGAUUUCGUUGGAUUAUUCGAUCUAUUUUAUAAGUUUUAAAAUUUUACCGUAAUUCACGAGAUUUUGAAAAAAAAAUCACCAAUCAUGAAAAUUACAUGUAAAUAUGUAAUUCAUUAAUCAACUUUGCAACUGUUUAUCUAGAAUUUGCUAGACUUCGAAAAAAAUUUCCAAACUACAUGUAAUUCAUUAAUCAUGAAUUGUUAUCCAUUCAUUAAAAUUUCAUCGGAUAUAUACCUAAUAAUAAACUUUUUUCAUGAAAUGUUCAAUUUGCUUUCACCGUUCCGGUGAGUGCUUAAAGGUUCUAGGUAGAGUUGCGGUUAAGUUAUGUAUGUGUACUUGUGAUAUAUAUUACAAAAUUUUAGAAAUAAUUUUGUGUUGGUCCAAUUUUUGCUCUAAACUAUAACAUUUAUAGUAGUUACUCCCUCCAUCCCACCAGGAUGUUUACGUUCACUGUUUGAACGCAUUAAUUUUGAGACUCUUAUAAAGUAUAGUUCGAUAAUAUUUUUGUAAUUUUUUUUUUCUGAAUAAAAGUUUAAACGUCAAACUUUUUUUUCAGGAUUUUUUUAAAAAUAAAUAUAUAAUGUAAGUAUAUUUUAUAGGAGUCUUAAAAUACGUGCCAAAAAAUAACGUAAAGAAUGGUGGGACAGAUGGAGUAAUAUAUAUUUCUAAUGGUCUCUGGUAGAAGACGAUCGCUGUCUCAUUUUUCAUCUUUUGAUAUUAAGUUCACAAAUUUAAUUUCAUUUAAUAUUUUUUAAAUAUUUAAGGUCCGGUCUCACCUCCAUUGACAUGUACAUCUUCACUGCAACGUUCUUUAGUUUUAAUUCGUCCGCAUACAAUAUCCUCUUAUAUCCUGAAUUUACCGAAAGAAAAAGAAAAAAUAUCAAUUAUAUAAAUUUAAUAACAGCAAAAGAAGCAGAACAGCUUCAGAGGAGAGCAUGGGCUCGCCAUGGGACCAGGGAUGUGAGUUGGAGCACGUCCUUCCGUUUUCAAUCAGUACAAGAAAAGAAGAAAGAAAGUUGUCUAGAGAGGACCAGCUAGGCCAGCAAAAAAAAGGAUACAGUGUUUACCCUUUAUCAAUCGAAUAUUUUAUUCUUUUAAAUAUGAAUAUAAUAUUCUGUACGGAUCGAGAAAAUGAUAAUGAAAUUAUUGAAAAGCAAAGAAACCCUCCAGAAGAAACCAUACUUGAAAAGGAGCACAGUUGGAUUAUUAGGUCAAGCGUGAAAUGGAUAAAUUACAACUUUAAUUUUCUCACUGAGUUUAAAAGAGUGUAUUAUUAACCUCGGCAAAGACAUGUCGAUGAAAUAAAGCCCAAAGUGAUGGCUUUAAUUUAUUUCGCCGAGGUUUAGUUCAGGAAAUUCUUGUAACUAUAGAGUAGUACUGGCUGGUCGGUCGUCUACAGAUUACUUUCGUCUUUUGUUCUUUGGAACUGCUUUUCGCUUUGAUUCUCUCUUUAUCCGCUAUAAAAUGAACUUUUUGCUUGACGAAUUUUAAUAUUGAAUUGUAUUUUGUGCUCCAUAAUUGCUUUGAUAAGGAAAAAUUAGAAGAUCAGACAAAGUAUAAAACUAAUCUAACAAUUUAGGAGAAUGUUAUACAAUAGAAAUCUCGCCCACCAUCCAUUAUUAAAUUUAAAACAGGACUUUCAAAAUUAUGAUAAACAUUCCUUUCAUGGACAAAGUUGUUUGAAAUUGAAUAAUUUACCGAAAGUGUUUCACGUCCAAAAGAUUCGAACUCCCGGAGGCACUUUUCACUUCACCGGUUCUUCUUGGAAAUUAUCGAGCACAACAUCAAUGAUUCGAUAGAGAAACAAGAUUCUAUAGUUGAUAAUUCUGGAAGUGAUAACAAUGUAUACACAUCACUUAUAUUCGUAGACGCGGAAAACGAAAUACAUGUAGAUUUUGGAGUUGUUUUUUUUGACUUAGAAGCACCAUGCUUUGUAAGAAACGGCAAGCGCAAACAAAUUAAAUUGCUGCAAAUCAAAGAUUUGGUGCUUUUAUUGCAUGCACAACUACACGUGAAAUAAUGUUAAACGUUUUCCAACGGUUUUGAUAUAUUUAAAAACAACAUAACCCUCGUAUUUAACUCGUUAAACAGUAAUAUAAAAUCUGAACUGCACGUCCAUUUCAUUUUCUACUUUAGAACUGAAGCCGCACAUAAUUGACUACUUAUAACGAGCACAGUUCAGAAAAUAUUGUGCAUACAUAUACUACUUCACAUGUUAUAAUAAAUAUUGAUCUAGAAAGAAACGAAGAAAAGACCACUUUAUCAGUCUGAGAUUGGAAGAAACAUAAUUUUUUGGGCUGAACAUGACAUGAAUCAAUGACAAAGCCAAAAUCAAAGGCUUUUGAUUUUGCAGAAGCAGCAGUUGUCCAGGGACUGUGUUAGAAAAUACAUACACAUAAGGUCGACUAGUGCUUGCUGCUCUUCGACACAGAGUCUCGUCUUUUUAUUUUGGAACUGCGUUUUUAUUUGAUUCUCUUUACCAUUAUAUUGCGGAGACGAAGUUCAGCUUUGCCAGAUCUAGUAUGCAUAUAUGUUUUUAAAAUGAUAUUUGUUGGUUAUUUGAUCGUCAGUGGGCGCAUGGACAAAAUAGUUAUCUAUUCAUGUAAGUUGAAACUUCCAGAGUAUCAAAAUGUGAGGGUUCUAGGAAGCACUUGAAAUACAAUUAAACCAAACGGACCGAAUAUAUCCCGAUUAGAGUAGAUAUGGGCAGAGUAUGAUGUAAACAACCAUACCUUUACUCUGAAGAUUGUUUCCGUGAGAUCCAAUGUAAUUCAGAAUAUAGAAGAUAACGUGUGAUUUUGAGAUGGUGUCUUAGCCUUUAAUAUUAUUCACACAGGACUUAUAUACGUAAAAGACGUGAUCACGGGGAGGUGACUAGUCUAUAGAGAAGCUGUCAUCAGCCGGAAGGAAACGGUUACCAUUAGUUAAAAGUCUGUUCUCCUUAAUUAUGUUAAGCUAUCAACAGAAAAUUAGUAAGAAAAUCAUAAGAUAGUUAUACAAUACAAAGCUUAAACAAUUAAAAUUUUAAAUUAUAAAUUUUGUAAAAGAUUAAAAAUCCUACAAACGAACUUAUUUAUUUAUAUAUAUAUAUUAGUUUUUGCUGAAUAUUUUUUUUAUUUUUUUAGAAAUCAUAAACAACAUAAUGAUUAUAUAAAUAAAAAACACAUUAUUUUGAAAAAAAAUUACAUGAUAACAUGAUUCUGAAAAUAAAUUUUUUACUAAAAAUUGUAUAUAAAAUAGGAUCAAAUGUCAAUACAUACAAGAUUUUUUAUCUAAAUUAUAACAUAGUAAAAAAAGUAAAUUAAGAAGAUUAUAAUGUAAUUAAAAAAUAACUAAAAACAUAAUAAGUUAAAAAUUAAAAAAUGUUUAAAACAGUGCUCGGCGCUAGUAAUAAAUCAAAGUAAAAUAUAUUAUAAGCGGAUCAAUAAUGACUAAAAAUGUGUUACAAUAUGUACCCUCUCUGUACAUAACCAAUUAUGCAGAAAUAUCAGAGCAAUAAUAGCAAGGGAGAAUAACAUUCUUCUAGACGUAGUAUAAUUCAGAAAAUUACCCUGUAAAAGACAUGGAAUUAUUACAGUACGAUAGUAAUUAUACAAAAGUAAAGAUGCAUGGAAAUUGCUAGGCCUCUGCGACAUACUACAAAUAAAGUGAAGUAUUAUUGAUAGUACGCAACUUUUGUCACUGUCUUGUUCGUUUUCUUGUAAUAUUACAGUGUGAUCACAGAAAAGUAUUGUCACCAGCUAGGGCCAUUACGUUAAAUACGAAUCAAACUUCGAAAAUUUAUAGCAACGUCUUUUAGGUCAACGACGCAUAAUGCAUAUCGAGGGACAAGUGUGUGCUAAGCUUUUUUUCGACGUAUGUAUCACAUUUUUGAUUUCUGAAUGGUCCAGUACUCUUUAGUUUCAGGAGGAGAAGGGCUUCCAGAAGUCGAUCAUGAGAUUUAACGUACCCAAAUUAGCCCUUAUUUCUCGGCCGUUUGAUGCCAAAAAGUUGUUGGCAGUGAAAUCAGUCGUUAUCCCAGGGAAAUGCACUUAUCACAAUAGCAAGUCCCUAACAAGUAUAUAUAUUAUUUAUUACAAUAACCAUACCGUUUACCAUCCUGUUAUUCGGUGAAUGAUUUUAAAAUAAUUUUAACAAAUCAGAUAUCAUAAUUAAAUUUUAGACUAAUCAUACUUAUUAUAUAACAAAAUAAUAGUAACUAUUAGAUUAAACUCAUUAAAGAGAUGGAUGGACAUGAUCGAAUUAGACCUAAAUCUGACAAUAUAUUUUCAAGAAGGAAACUCGGAAAAUUUAUAAUUCUUCUCCCAACUCCUUCUCUCGCUCCCCAAUCAUCAAAUAUAUUAUAAAUAUAUUUAUGCAUAGGCGUUGUAUAAAUUAUUAAAAAUAAUAUAAUUUUGUAUGUAUUUUUAAUAUUAUCUUUUUAAUAUUUAUUAUUCAUAUUGUAACAUGAUUUAUUAGCAAUAAUUCUAUGUUUAUUUUUAAAUUAUAUGAUAACUAAAUGUUGAUUCAUAUCAAGUAAUUAAUUAAUUAAGUUUAAAAUAUAUUGUUUGAUUUUAAAAAAAAGUUUAAAAUAUAUUAUAAUAUAUAUUAAUUAAUUUAAAAAUAUUUAAUAUUUUUUACAAAUUGUUGCAAGGUUCUUUGUUCCCGUUCGAACGUGAAUCGAAAAAUAAACUAAUACUCUCUUCGUCCCCUUUUAGUUGUCCCUGAGUGUUAUAUUAAUAUCAAGAUCAAUACAAGAAUCAUAAUUGUGUCUUAUUAUCAAAAUAAUAAUAUAUUUGAACAAGUAUCGGAGAGAAAGGAAAAGAUAAGAGUAUAGACAUAUGUUAAAAAUGAAUAAAAAUUAAUUUUUUAUCGGUGAAAAUAAUUUAAAAUUUUACAAUAUUAUCUUAAAGAUACAUAAUAGAUGAGCACUUUUUCUUUCAAAUCCUUCAAAUUCUGGUUUGGAACAUUGGAGGAGACAGCUAAUUAGUUAUCACCAAAGCGGACAUUACCACACACCUUUUUGAGUUAUUGUUUCUUGGUUUCAUAUUUAAAUAAAGAAAUUCUAGAAGGAGACCCUACGUUUGAGAUCGUGAGAGAAUGAUUGGGUUUUUAUGAUUGAGCUUUGACUGAUACAUCUCUCUCUGUUAUUCGAUAAUCAUCCGGCUCCACCUAUUCAAACGUGGGCGCUUAAGUUCGAUCACUAAAGUCCUGAAUUAUCCUGUUUACUCGUGUAGAGUGUAUAUACGAAUGUGAUCACACACAUAGCAUACCUAGAUACAGGAAUCAGAAAGUUUUAAAUAUACGUGAUGUCAAAAUAAAAGAGAAUUGAUAAUUAACGUAUAUAUCUUUAACAUUUUUAUACAUCUUAUAGAAUAAUCUCUACUUGAUUGUCAGAUGUAAUUUUUGAAGUUCUUGAAUACGCAAGUAUUUGAAUUCUAGAAUGGACUUUAGACAAAAUAGGUCCUAUUUAAUUUACAACCCCUAAACGAGUAAAAGGUCUAAAUAUCAUAAUUUAUGAUUGAAAUGUCCUAAAUAUGAUAUAACGUUAAAUUUAUAUUAUAUAGACUUUCAAUGCUAGAUUACAUAACAUUAAUUUAUAAUAUUACAUCGUCUAAUAUCAAGAUUUAUAAGAAUAAAACACUAUGUAUUUAAGGGUAUUUUCUUAGGUGAUAUUUAUGUCAUUAUUUUCAUUUGAUCUUAGUUACUGAAAAACUAUUUGAAACAUUUUAUCUAGUAUAUAAUUGUCUAUAACCUGUUUCGUGUAGGCAUGGCCUGCAUAAACCGCAGAAAAGCUGUGAAUAUGGUCGGUAAAUUGUUCUACUACGCAACAAGCGGGGAAUGGCCUAGUACUGCAACUGGGAUCUAGAGUAUAAAUACGUGUUUAUCUUAAAAAUUGAAGAUUAAAACAUCGUUACCAUAUCUUGCUAUAUAUUUGGAUAUAUGUUCCUCUAUCUAAAUAAUAAUACUAAGUAUUACUAUUAAGAAAUUAAUAUCAAUGUAUUGAAAACUUAGUAUUUAGGAAAAAUUUUGAAAAAAAAUUCGAGGUACUAGCAUGUUUUUACAAGCACCGGUAUUGUUUCAUUUACAUUCGCCAUAACUAAUUGACACCAAAUUAAUGGUCGUGCAAAAUCCAUCAAGUUCCGCUCCCGGUUGUAAUCAAACUCUUACAAAUUUGUUCACCAUCUUCUCUCAAAAAUUAUGGUGCUAUGAAACUGCUUACUACUUAUGUUCAAUUUUUUUUUCACGAAUAAUUUGUGAUUUGGGUUGAACCCCCUGCACAAACUAAAAACAAGACAGUGAUGAACAAUUGUUUUAAAAAACUAGUCUGGGCCCGUUUUAAUUGGAACUGAAAUACAAAAUCUGACUGAUAACGUGACUAACCUGUGAUCUUUUACGAAUUCGGCCAUGAAUUACCAUCACAUUCCUCUUUUGAAGAUUACUCCGCAAAAACCAAAUUUUUAUUACAACAUCCUUAAAAGUAAGAAGCACAGUAAAUAAUUAUUAUAAUUUUAAGAACACAGUUUUUUAACAAGCGUUUGUUAUAUAAUUAUCCGCUGUUUUUUAAUAUUUAGAUUUUUUUUAUGUGCAUAUGAGAGAUCAUUAUUUUAUCUGUGAUUUAGAUAUCUGCUCUACAAUAUUUUUCUUUUCAUGAUAUUUUUUCGUGUAUAAAUUAAUAACAACAAUCACUUGUCAGCGAUUCUCUCAUAAGAUUGAAGAGAUAAAUUGGUAAUAUUUACAGUAAUGCCACGCAUGAAAACUGAACCAGCAAGACUAAAAGUCUAAAAGUGAGAUUAUUUUUUGUAUUGCAGCAGAAAAUGUCAUAAUCGUUUCGGCGUGUGACUCUAAAAAGCAUGAACCGGUUAACUGUAACAUUCCGUCCACUGGAAAAGAAGAAACUGGAUAGGGACCGUAACGUGUGGGAGGGGAAUAGUGAAUCACCCACACGGCAUAGCUCACCUUCUAGAUAGUCGUGCCCAAAGUCGAAAGCCAAGAUACUAUAGCAGUCAAGGCCUCUUACUACAGGACAGAUUAAUUCAAAUACAGAGCUGUGGUCCUUUUGCUAAAUCACUAACAACAAUAAUGAUCAUUGUCCCAACAUUAAUCACUUCAAAUUAAGAACCUAAAGUGCAUUCUGCCUGAUUAAGUAACAUAAAGUUUGCAAGUAAGAGCUAGUAAUCCUAUAUUCCAUUUACUUUAGUCUUGGAUGUUACCUAGCUGAGAAACAUUGAUCAUACAUGUAGGCGUUCUAUCAAAACCGAGAGAGAAUAUUUAAUGUUGUUGACAUAGAAUAUAUACUUUUAUAUAUAUGUACACUGUGGAUGGGGAGAAAUAGAGAUUUUAUUCUGUAAUUAUGAAUUGUUUCGUGAUUAGCUUGAAUAUUCCAUUAAUGCUUGUCACGCAUUAUGAACUAAAGAGUAUGAUAGUGUUGAUUCGUAACCAGAAUUUCCAAGCAGUGUAGAAUAAGAAACAGUAUAAGUGGUCCGUAAAAUAGAAUGGUACUCUGCCGCAGUCGUAGCUUUUAACAUACAAAUCAAAACUAGGAGACGCAUAGCUAGAGGUUCGCGGACACACAGCAAUCAUACAAUUUCUCCUUGUCGUUUGCAAUAAUACACACAUAUGUAUGAAUCUCUUGCUUUAUUUUCAUUCUCGACCCAGCCAGAUCUGUUUCGAUUUUGAAUCAAAUCUUACCACUCACGCUCUAUAGUGAAGUUAUCCCCAUGCACUCACAUUUUUCGUCAUCACCGUGCGUCUAGAAGCAGCAUACAUGCUAAGCCCUUCAUUGAUUUGUAUUAAUGCAGUAAUAAAAAUCCUCUUCCACUGAGAAAAGUUUAAGUAAAUACUCCGCAAGUAAUUGUCAUUUCUUCAAAAUCAUAAAUCUCGAUUUGAACUUAAAUUAGCUAGGCAUAUAUUUUACGUUUACUCCCGACUAAUUCUAAACAACAGUCAAGUCUUCUUAUUACAUUUUUCGGUAACUUUGAGUAAUGUUUCGGUAAUUCUAAAUAACAGUAAAAAGUGAACACUCAUUUUAAGAUUUUAAGUUGUUGGAGUGAUAUCAACAACGUCUUUUAAGGAUUAAAAGUGCGACAACAUUAUUCACAAGUCACCUCUCUAAAGUCUAAAGUAUGAACGUGCAUAUUGAGAUUGUGUUAUUGUAAAAUUCUAUUCCAUUGCUUAUACAAAUUAAUCUGUAAUUUACGGUAAGCAGGAUACCGAAUCUUGACUCACUUUUUACAUUAAGAUACAAACACAAAUCGUAUGUUCAAAGUCCUAUUACUGUUUCCUUUAAUAUAUACUCAGAGCAGGUUAGGUGAUGGGCCAUCUGUGCUAUAAUAUGCGUCAUAGAAAUUUGUCAAGAGUCUAGUCCGUGAAGUAGCAGUCAAGGUAAGUAGAGUGCAUAAUUUUACAGCGUCAUAAUCACUCCUUAAUCUAAUUAAUUAAUUAUAGUAAUUAUAUAUAAUUGCGCCGUCAUUGAGAUCAGUUACUACUCCUUCUCUUUGACCUAUUAUUCUCUUGAUUUUUUUUCCAUAUAAUUUUAAGAGUUUUGAUCAUAAUUUUAAAAUUAUUAUUAUCUAAUUCAUUUUUAUGAUAGUAUAUUAAUGUCAAAGUUUUUUAAAAAUACAUGAAAAAAUCCUAGACAACUACGCAACCAAACACCUCAAGGAAAAGCAAAAUAUAUGGGUCUUAAUUAUCGCUAUAUAACCUCAAAAGCACGGACUGUGUAAUUAAUUACUCCCCUGUUGUCAAAAAUAUAAGACUAUAAGAAUGAAUAUCCCUAAAAGUACGAAAAGAAUGUUUACUUAUCAAAAAUUAUGUUUUCAUUUCAUACAAUAAAAUUACUAUUCUAAAUUUUAAUAUAUUAAUUUGAGAUUCCAAUUAAGGAGUCCAUGAACCAAAUACCCUUUGUCUAAGUAUCAUUUCCAUAUUGGUUUUCAUCUUCAUGCAACACACGAAUUCUAUACUAAUGUUAAUCGCAGCAUUGUGAAUUAACAAAGUUCUAGAAACUAUUUUGCUUGUGCGCCCACACCUGCUAUUUGAAUUAUCAUUCCACUUUCAUCAUUAAAGUUUUACAAAGUGGAAUGACCUGACCAAAUUAACCCUACAGUUACGAACACUAUGAUUUCAGUUCCCCUGCACUGCAAGCCCGUACAUGAACUGAUCAUAUGAAUAUCAACAUAUUACAAACCGAAAUAUUACACGGGGGUUAGAAUCUAUAUAAUGUUGCUUACAAACUGAUGGUUUUUUAUAUGCUUUCUUGCUUAUAUUCUUCUCUAGUGUAAGGUCGCGAUAGUUCUUAAGUUCGUUAUCAACGAAUGAACGGUACGCAUAAUAAUUAUGUACUGCCGUGUUGCUUUAAAUACCAAAAGGGUAAAAAGACAGGUCUAAAACAAUGUUAGUUGCAGAUUUGAGUGGAAAGUGGUUUUUUAAAGAGUUAAAUAUAGAGUGUCAGAAAUCAGAAUUGAUGUACAAAGCGUGCAGAAAAUGAGCAUGUUAAAAGUUAAAUUAAAGAAGAAACAUGUCUUAAAAAUUCAAGUCAUGGUAGCAGUUAUAAGCUUCGUAUAUCAACCCACUCCCAUCACAUGAAAAACAAAUUCUGAUACCUGAUAUAUGCACUAGUAAAUUAUUUUAUUUACAAAAGAUAUAUAUUUAAAAUGAUGAGAAAGACAGUUAUUAGUAUAUGUACUUUGUAUUGGUGUUUAAUUAAUCAAUUCCCGCGUUAAGAGAUAUCAGGAUAAAAGUGAUUGUUUUAUCAGAUCUCUUUGUUUUUGUUGUUUAUCACGGGUCAAUCAUUUUAGAGAAUUUCAUGACGUGCACUCUGAUUUAAAAAAAAGAAUCAUGCAUUUAGAUAUUAUUUACUUAUAUAUAUCAUGCAAUACUUUGUCUUGUACUAAGCUGAAGAUAUAUACAUAAAAACAACUUCCGUACCCUUUCACAAUAAGGUGUCGAUAUGCGUAAAUUUUAUCCUCUCAAUCUGCUUAUAUUUUAUCCUUCCAAACACUAUUCUAAGCGAGAUAUAGUGGGUAGGGUUGAUUUAUAAUAUUAUAAAUAAACUGCUAGAGAAAUGUUUACAAGGGUUUGAGAUAAGAUUGUUAAGUAAUACAUUAGUGUAAACAAGAAGAAUAUCUUUCUAUAAAUACUAACGAAACAUACCGAUCAGUUGAGCAUUAUAUAUCGACUUCCCUGGGCUUGAAUAACAAGUGAUAAACACUUAUAUAUAUUUUCCAAUCACAAACCCUUAAUCUCAGAUUAUCUAGACUUUGCAAAUCAAGUUACUGAUAAACAAAUUCCAAUGACAAUUGAUGCCGUAAUCUCCCCAAUCAUAUUGAUAUGCUGGAAACGGUACAAUCCGAUCAGGUUCGAAAUUGACAAGUCUACAAUGGUAUAGCUUGGAAACAAAUGCUUCAAGUUCAAUUUGUUAAAGGAAACCAUACACAUACAUAUUUAGGAAAAUAAAAUCAACAGCGUUCAUACAUAAUUAGCCAGCAGAAUAUUACCAGGUACUCCUAUCCUACAAGGCUGCAACAUUACAUUAAUCUGUGUAUUGAGUGCUUCUGUUACCUAAUCAUAGUAAUUAAUUACACUGAAUUCUAGUAACUUAUGGGAAUACAUACUGCUUGUCUAGCUAGCUAUGAAACAACUAUGCCCUGAGCAAAAGCCAAAGUCCAAUAACAAAUUAGUGAAAAGGUCAUGGAAUAACAUAGUGAGUUCUUCUCUGUCGUCCCGGGUUCCAUGUUCGAGGUUCUCGCUUAGUCGAAAAUUAUUAAAUGAAAUGAUAACUACUUUAUAUAUUACCUUAAAAGUUAUACACCAAAGCAAAAAUAUACGAGGUAAAAGAAAAAAAAAAGAGAGAUUUAGAAUAAUUAAUAAUUAAUGAUAUGAAUGAGAGCUCUGGUCAACAUACGUGAACCCUCAAGUGGAACCCUCCACAUCCGUUUUAACUUAGAUGUUGUCGUGUGUGAUGCUCUCGCCCGGACCCCAUGCUAUUUUGUUGCGCGCGCCCAACGCUUGUGUAAGGCGUACCUCAAACACUCAUGCACUAUCUAAAUACAGUACAUUCUACACACAUUAGUAGUGCUAGUUACUUGCUAGGUAGUAAAAUGUUAUAGACAUUUUAUGCUACAAUCUUUUAAACAUUUUUUAAUUUUUUUUAUUUUCUAGAAGUUUCCGCUGGCCCACAAUAUCAGUAUUUUUAUAAUUAUUUGCUAAUUUGUAGUUAAGUCGACAUUCUCAUCUUAUAAAUACAGCCGCUCAUUGGCCUGAAAAAUAGAGACAACAAGAGCACCGAGUAUCAUUGCUUUACUUCUCUCUUUGAGACUCUCUCUAUUCUCUAUACCUAGCUCUUUCUUUUCCUUUGAGUUUUUGGUAAAAGAUACAAAUAACCCUAGCUACUUGAUAUGGAAGACCUCAUCUCUUCUUCCUCAUCGUCUUCGUUUCUUUGUCACGGCGGAGCAUCUCCAACCAUCCAACAACGACUUCAAUUCAUCAUGCAGAGCCGCCCUGAGUGGUGGAUGUACUACAUCUUUUGGCAAACUUCGAAAGAUAAUUCCACUGAUCGCCUUGUUCUUUCGUGGGGCGAUGGUCACUUCCGAGGCAAUAAAGAUUUUAUGCUCAAGGCUGCCAACAGCAAUAUUGGACUUGGACCGCAAGAUCAGCCACAGCAGCCGCAUCCUAAAUUUGGGUUCGAGUUGGAGAGGAGGAAAGUUGCUAAGGGGAUUCAAUCACUCUUUACUGAUAGCCUGCCAGGCAUCGACGGUGUUGUUGAAGCUGAUUUCCCUGAUUCUGAGUGGUUCUUUAUGGUAUCGGUGACUAGAUCGUUUGCUGCUGGAGAAGAUAAUACUGUUGGCCAGGCUUACAGUUCGGGUUCCUACGUUUGGUUGGCUGGUGAUCACGAGCUUCAGUUUCAGAACUGCGAUCGUGCUAAAGAAGCUUAUCUUCAUGGAAUUAAAACACUUGUUUGUAUUUCAACUCCAUAUGGUAUUAUCGAGUUGGGUUCAUCCUAUGUGAUAAAGGAAGACUGGGGUCUAAUUCACUUGGCCAAGUCUCUAUGUAGCCCUGAUAACAACGGUACUAAUAAUAUGCCUAUAAGCAACAUGAGUAGCCCUGGUGCAAUUGCUUACGCUCCUCCUCAGAAUAGUACUCGAAGUCUUUCCUUUUUUGAUAUUAACGCUGUUUCGGGAGACGAGGAAGGGAACGUAAAGCCCGAAAAGAAACUUACGAAAGGUGGAAGAUCAUCUUCCGAUUCUGGGAAUUCUGAUUUUGAGAGCACUCUUGCUCCGGAUUCUAGUAUGACAACAAGGAUGAAGAAGAGAGGAAGGAAUGGAGCAAUGUCCGGACGAGACUUAGCACAGAACCAUGUAGAGGCUGAGAGGCUCCGUAGGGAGAAGCUGAAUCACCGAUUCUACGCUCUCCGAAGCGUGGUUCCCAAUGUGUCAAGAAUGGACAAGGCGUCUUUACUUGCGGAUGCAGUCACAUACAUCAACGAACUAAAAUCAAAAGUGGAAGAUUUGGACGGAAAGCUACGUCAAGAGAUGAAGAAGUCGAAAUGUAUCACGGAUGUACUGUAUGAUACUCAGAGCACAUGUACCAACGUAUAUCACACUGCUAGGUCAUCCGUGACUUAUGGACCUGUGAACAUGGAAGUGGAUGUCAAAAUUCUAGGGUCACAAGCGAUGAUACGCGUACAAAGUCCCGACGUGAAUUAUCCGGCUGCAAGACUGAUGGAUGCGCUUCGAUUGCUAGAGUUCCGAAUUCAUCAUGCAAGUGUAUCAAGCGUC